AGGUCAAGCUAAAAAGAGCGCAGGGUGGAUGCCUUGGCACUAAGAGCCGAUGAAAGACGUGAUAAGCUGCGAUAAGCUACGGGGAGGAGCACAUAUCCAUUGAUCCGUAGAUUUCUGAAUGGGGAAACCCGGCUGAGCAUACCUCAGUCACCGUACACUGAAUCCAUAGGUGUACGGAGGGAACCCGGUGAACUGAAACAUCUAAGUAGCCGGAGGAAGAGAAAGAAAACUCGAUUUUCAAAGUAGCGGCGAGCGAAAUGGAAAGAGCCCAAACCGGAGUGCGUGCACU
rnacentral:rRNA from 1 species